rnacentral:rRNA from 1 species
UACGAAGGGGGCUAGCGUUGCUCGGAAUCACUGGGCGUAAAGGGUGCGUAGGCGGGUCUUUAAGUCAGGGGUGAAAUCCUGGAGCUCAACUCCAGAACUGCCUUUGAUACUGAGGAUCUUGAGUUCGGGAGAGGUGAGUGGAACUGCGAGUGUAGAGGUGAAAUUCGUAGAUAUUCGCAAGAACACCAGUGGCGAAGGCGGCUCACGGGCCCGAUACUGACGCUGAGGCACGAAAGCGUGGGGAGCAAACAGG